rnacentral:rRNA from 1 species
AUUGAACGCUGGCGGCAGGCCUAACACCUGCAAGUCGAACGAGUGGCGGACGGGUGAGUAAUGUCUGGGAAACUGCCUGAUGGAGGGGGAUAACCACUGGAAACGGUCGCUAAUACCGCAUACCAUCGGAUGUGCCCAGAUGGGAUUAGCUAGUAGGGGGGGUAACGGCUCACCUAGGCGACGAUCCCUAGCUGGUCGGAGAGGAUGACCGGCCACACUGGAACUGAGACGCGGUCCAGACUCCUACGGGAGGGAGCAGUGGGGAAUAGUGCACAAGGGGCGCAAGCCUGAUGCAGCCAUGCCGCGUGUAUGAAGAAGGCCUUCGGGUUGUAAAGUACUUUCAGCGGGGAGGCGUUACCCGCAGAAGAAGCACCGGCUAACUCCGUGCCAGCCGCCGCGGUAAUAC